rnacentral:lncRNA from 1 species
UUCUCAAGUUGGUCACCUGUGACGGACAACGUUAGUAGUUUCGAAAGUGAGUAUUCUACUGCCUUCCCAAAGUACCAUAGGUAACUGUCCAAAAAACUUGCAAUGGUAAUGGGUUCUUUGAGGACUACCUAGUAGCUUCUAUAGCCAAUGAUGUCUCAUAAACAGUUUUGUAAAUGCUGCCUUAAUACGUGAAAAUUCAAUAGAAAUAACCAUGAUGUGAAAAAUAGGCACAUCUUAUUAAGAGACACAAUAUUUAGUACAACUUACUUGUCGAUAAAGUACUGAAUUAGAAGCAUUUAUCUUUUAAGUUUCCUGUCUUAUAGGGGCUUGAGUUGUGAGCCCCCCCCCCAAAACAAUUACUAUAGUAACAUUCUAGAUGACCACCUACUGUAACUAAUGUAAUAAAGAACAGGUUUUAAGUUUGCCAGCAUUGAGCAUCACCGAAAUGUGACCUAGAGGACAGGAAGUGAGCAAUUGCUGCUGGAAAAAUGGCCCAGAGUUGCUCCACAGGGUUGCCACAAACCUUGUUGUAGAAAUUAACACCCUGGAAGUAGUAAAGCCAAAUGCAAUACAACAAGGAUGUCCAUACAUAAGCACGUGGCAAAACUACAAGAACCAUGGUAAACAGACCGUAUACUGUCCCUCAGGUCAACACUGGUGCUUUCCCUUCAGCAGAGUACCUGGUGUUUUCAGUGUUUUCUGUGUAUGAUUUUCUAUUAAUUUCCUAUUGCUGUGUAGACACAUUACCACAAACUGGGCGCCUUAAGACAAAGCCACUCUCUUACAGCCCCGGAGGUCACAGUCCAAAAUCAGCCAGGACUAACAAGUCCAAGGGUUAGCAGGGCUUCUCUCUUUUCCCGAGUUUCUAAGGGCGAUUUUCCCUUUCUCAACUUUUUCAGCUUCCAGAGAGAGGCUGCCCACAUGCCUGGGUUUAUAUGCCCUUCCUUCAUCUUUAAAGCCUAAGCGGUGCCGUCUUUUCUUUGACCUCUGCUUCCACCCUUCCACCUGUUUUUGUGCUUCCUGGAAAGAGGAGUCCUAUUGCUUGGUCUCUGCGACUCUCCUGCCCACCUCUUUCUAAGCGCCCUUGACAUUUUAUUAGACCCACCAGGAUAAUCCAGGCCAUUUUUUCCAUCAUGAGACCCUUACUUACCACGUCAAGGUUAGGUCGUCACAGGUUCUGGGGAGUAGGAUGCCGACGUCUCUGGGGGGGCCAUUCAUUAGCCAACCACAGGUACAUCCCUUCAACUACACACGCAGUAAACAUGGUUUCACACUGUGCCAUUUACAGUAUAACAGCGUCCAUUGGUCCACUUUCUCGGACGAAGCACAGGAGUCCAGGAUCACAUAUACUUUCUGGAGUUCAAGUUGGCAGUACUGUUUGAACCCUACGUGACCCGUAUCCUUUGAUCCAGUAAUUCCGUUAGGAAGUGAGAUAAAUCCUUCUCCGGAACUUACAUGUGAUUUUAAGACCAUGUUUUGUUUUUAUUUCUUUUCCUCUGAACUUUUGCAUUUUCUAUUUUAAUCAUUUUAUAAUGAAAACCUUUAUGAAAGGAGUAUGUGACAGAGGGCGAUGUAUGGCAGCCCCAUCCUGCUGGCUUGGGUAUCGAAAGCCAUCCGGAUGGAAGAGAUGAAAGGAGGGGCUAAAAUGUCAUCAAAAUUGAAACUUUCCCUUUAAACAAGGAGAAAAGUAGAACACCACAUUAGAACUAGCCCAGAGAUCAAGACGCAGUAACCUCUAUUUCAAGUUGGAGCCAGAAAGAAACGUUACCAAUUCCCUUCCCUAGAAACACAUAUCUUAGGCCAGCAGGGUGUUCCAGGGCACAGCUGGGCAGCAGGAUCAAAGCAGCUGCACAGUAGAGGUGGGCAGAAUGUGUCGAGUGCAGGUGGUUGCAGGACGUUUCUUGGCCUUACAUCAUCAUAUGGUCAUGGGUUUUUUAAUCUGAUCUGUGGGAUGUGAUCCAUGAACUUCGACUUAACCUCCACCUUCAGUAUUUUGGGUUCCUAAGUGCUCUGGUGAAAGCCAUUAUUCUUAACACCACUUUUCAUCACUUACAUAGAGGAUGGAUUGUCCUUUAGGGGCCGUUUUGCCUCCCAAGAACUGGUGUGACCCAGGUGGAGAUAUCAGCAAGAAAUAAAAAGAUUUAGGAGAUAGAUUUAGCAUUUAUUUAUUUAGGAUUUAUAUACAGUUAAAGAUAAAGAAGUUCUGCAGAUUUUUUUCAUUUCAUUAACAGAUAUCAACCAAUUGUUUUGCUAUAGCACCCUUUGAGCCAUCCUACCAGGGAGCCUGAGCCUCCCAAAAUUCUUUGCUGAUGGAGGAGGAAUUCUGUUGAUCCCUAGGAAUUGCCAACUAUUUAAGUUUUAUUAAUGAGUUUUCUUGUCCUACGUCCCCUUACUACAUGCGCUCCUCCUGUGGCAUAUUUUUUCUUCAAAUGUCAGCUGGAAAGAAUUACAACUGAAAUGUGCUUUGUUAAUCAUCUCUGUAGUGGUUUAAACACUCAAGAUUGUUCGUGAUAAAACACUCACCUUCCACCAGCUGAAUAUUUUGCCUGUUGCCUAGAGGGUAAGAGAGCUGGAGGCUGAAGCCACAGCUUUUUAGAUGACUGAUUCUCUCUCAGGCUGUUUUAAAUGGUAGUUUUACACUAUUUAGGAGAAAACCAGACAACUAAUGUCAAACCCAACUCGGGUCACCGCACUGUCAACAAGUAAUGGACGGCAUUCAUUUAGAAAACACUAACUACUGGCUACUUGAGUUCAUUAUAUCGCUGCACAGAUUUGCUAUUAUCAAUACAGAUUAAAUCAAGGUAACCCAAAAUGGAGUUUCACUUUAAAAGCUUUGUGAUAGAAACAACUGCAGAAAACACGUGCCUUGUUAAGCCAAUACCUCAUGAAUGCUACAUGCAUGUGCUACCGCCAUGUAUGUGUAGUGACAUGCUUAGCAGUGAUGCAUUUAUGUGGUUCUGAUCAUGUAGUUCCAGCCAUUAUGUAGUUCUGAUUUUUUUCUGGGAUUAGAAGGUACACACAGAAAUACUCCUCUCCAUCUUUCACCUUUUACUUCUCCCAAAUAUUCAAACAGAAAACCAAGGUUCAAAGUUGUUACACACAGAAGGAUCAGGUUUCCGUGACAUUUAUGUUCACUAUCCAUCCACCAUCAUGUCCAUACUCGCAAGAAGUGUGCGACUCCUGCCUGCCAAAGAUUUGUAUUUCCAUCUUGCCAAAAAUUAUCAGGUGUGAAGAUGCAAUGUAUUCAUUUUUAUGUAAUGCAGCACUCAUUCCCAAGGAUAAAGUUUCUGGGUCAGGGUGAAUAUGUGACACGGAGGAACACAACAUCUACCAAUGAUCCCUUAUUAGGACAAUUAUACAUAACCACCUUAAAUAACAUUGUAUCAAACUAGCUGUUUUCCUUUCUUACUUAGUAUUUAACAUUAUCUAGGCUCAACUUGCAUUAAAAACAUCAAGCAUCACAGCAGUUUCUCUGAGGGUAUACUCUUCGCUUCCAUCUGCAUUUUAAAAUAUACAUAUUGCUGUUUCCUAAUGACGCUUUCAUGAAAAAAUGAAAUCCGAAACCACACAUAUCCAUUUAAUUAACAUUGAGAUGUUUCCCAACCUACCCGGUAUGAAAGCUGCUAUCUUUUUGGCACAUACAAUUUGUUGCUUUUACAUGUGAAAAUUUAAAGGCUUGUUCACAAUAAAAUGUAGACCAUUGCCAUUGUAAACAUUACCCUGAGCACGUUUUUUUUUUUUGGAAUUAUUUACAUUGUUUCCACAAGCUGAAUUUUCCCAUUAGUGGUGUGUUGCGAGGUGUUUAAAACUGGCUCUGGCAGUGAGUGGGAGUUCAAACUCUGAUUUGUACUAGUUUCCAAUUUCCAUGGGGUUAAGUACUCCCAAGGCAAUUGGAAGUCAAUGGUCUUGCAAAUUUCCCGCAAUUUUAACCGUAAGAACUUGGAACCAAAGGGAGCCAACCCCAGCACAUCAAUUGAAAAAAAAAAAAAAAUACUCCCCAUGUCCUUCUACCUGUAGGUUCAGUUCUUGGCCCCUCAGCACUUCAGCUGCUUCUCUAAUCCGGGUCACUCCCGUCUCCAUCUUUCCCUGCCUCCUUCGACUUAAUGUCAAUUCACUCACCAUUAUUGAAAACCUCUGAGUCCCCACCCAGGCUCGUUUUAACAAGAGCAAUCUUCCUAAUGUUGACAUUGACAAUAUCCAACCUCAUACUUAGCGUAGAACUCAAGUGAAAAUUUUGUCCUAAUGAUUUACAUCAUUCAGUGCCAGGCCAUUGCUAAAUUUGAAGGUUCCCUUGUGGAGUUUUCCCCAGUUCAUUUUAUGAGACCAGGAUGAUCCUGACACCAAAACCCAAGACAGUAUCCUAAAUAGCAGAGGUACUAGGCAGGGUUGAUUUAACUUUCGAAAAAUCAAAGUCAUUCAUUGCAGCAUGCAAAGAACCAAAAACAUUUGAGAAAAUACAAUACUCAUGAUAAAAACUUUCAAAGUUAGAAAGGAAUUACCUCAACUUAAUAAAGAUUAAAAAACAAAAAACAGAAAACAAAAAACAAACCAAAAAAACCCCCAAGAACCGCUAAAAGCCAACAUCUGGCUCAACAGCACAAGACUAAAAAGCUUUCUCUCUAAAACCAGAAACCAGGCAACAAUGCAUUCUCCUGACUCUCAUUGAGUGUAAUACUGGAAGUUCCAGCCACCAUGACAGGCAAGAAAAAGCCAUAGAAGAAACAUAAAUAGUGAAGAAAAAAGUAAGACUCUCUCUUUGCAAGAUGUUUAUGAUUUUCUACGCAAGGCAUCCCAAGAAACCAACAAACAAAACCCUCCCAAACCAGUAAGUGACCCCUGUGAGGUCAACCAGGAGGAGCACACAAAAAAUCAAUUUUUAUCUCUACAUAUGAGCAUCAAACAAGGAAAAAAAAUAGAGUUCUCAUAUCUUAGCAAUAGGUACUGAUAUAUUCACAAAUAAGAUAAAAAUUUCUGAAAGCCACUUCAAAAGGAGGACAGCUAAACAUGUACACCCAGGAAGACUGGUCCUGAGUUGACCUUGAACUUGGCUGAAACACGGUUCUUGGCAAGCACUAACCUCUCUCAUUCCGUGGUUCUCCCAGCGUGUGGGUCUCCUACCUGCAGGAGCGGCACUGACGCUCUCCCUCUCUCCGAACUUGCGAGACGAUCCGAGGCUCCCCACCCCCCCAGCCUAUUUAUCCCCGCCCAUUGCCCAUUUACUCCAAAUCAAAGGCCCUGCACCUGAGCUCCCUUUCCUCUCAGAUUUAACAAGCCCUUCAGGUGAUUCUGAUCCACGCUAAUGUUUCCAAACUGCCGCCUGUCAAUCGCUCCCACCUGAAGACUGGUGGUUUUCGUUUUUAAUCUUUUACC